AUUUAUAAAAUGAAUUCAGAUCUUUUUGUUAAAGCUCAUUUAAAUAUUACAAAUAUGCUGCUAUUCGUUUUUAUGAUGAUUUCUCCCUUUGGGAGGCAUAAGAGUACAGGUUUGGAAACCUUAACGCAAACCAAACUUUAUGCUGGCAAUUUAAUUCUGCAAAACUCCUGGUUUAUGCUAUUUUUAAAAGUCUGCGUUUCCCUCCAACACUUAAAAGAUAGACACUCAAAACUCAAUAAGAUCUUCUAGAAAUUAAAAGGAUUUAAUUAGAUGAACCACAGUUUCUAAAUUAACUGCUUUUCACACACAUCCUUAGACCUGUGGUAGGUCAGGACUCAAUCUGAAUUGGGGAUUCAGCUGAAUUGCCUUUUUGGUGAGAAUCCCCGAUGGCCUCAUCGGAGAAUUUUUUACUUAAUAAAAAUAAAAGAGGGAGUUCCCCUUCCUUGCAUUUUUCGAAGCACUAAUUUUCUUCUAAUAUUUUGGGUAGUGCUUCAGGUUGGAGACAAAUGAGAUCACUAAACCCCGCCAGUGUGUGGACUCUGGGGCACAGUCUUCCAGUCCCCGAAGUUAAAUGUUUAGUUUGGGAAGGAGCGAGAGGGUUCCUACUAUUGUGGCAGGCUGCUUGGGGCAGGGGGUGUUCUCAAAUUACUGCUCCCUCACCGGGAAAGCCCGAACACAUCACGCUCAGUACGGGACGGAGAGCGAGACCACGCGGGGACUUCCGCCGGGCCAGGGCCAUUUGGGAACUGCGGCACCUAUACCAGCUCGGCGAAAACCAUCAUUAACGCGCCUUCGGAGCCACUCGGAGAGCCAGCCCACAGCCAGAGAGAAGAGUUUAGCCAGAGGUGUCCAGCUGUGGGGGAAGGGAGGGGAGGGGAGGAGUCUGGAGAGAUUCAGCCACACCUUCCCAGGUUCUGUCACUUUAAGGCAAACAGAAAUUCCCGAGUCCCGCCCCCUUCCCGAACAUCAGCUUACAAUUGGCUUACAGAGAUGCCAGUUGUGGACGGAGGUUUCAUCAUCUUCAGGCAUGGGGUUUUCCCAUUGGCCCAGGCGCUGGUGGUUUGUAAAUGGUACUGGAAAGGGGGAGGGGAGGAGGGUGUGCGAACGAGCGCGAGCGCGGCCCGGGCGGGAGCGGGAGGCUGGUUGGUUUCGCAAUCGCUUCUCGCCGUCCGCCGGUUCCAACUCUUCGAAGUCAGGCGUCGGGGUCGCGCCGCAGUGGGGGCCUCGCUGGGUCCGCCUCGGGUGGAGGCCCCCUAGUUCACUAAUUGGAUAUACAAAGUAUUCAUUGUGGAUGAUCAUGUAAUAUCCUGAGAGUCAACUGGAAAAAGAGGUGCAUGUGAAGAUUUCUUGGCAGCUUAGUGUGGAAAUUGUUGGUCACUUGCUUCUUCGCCCCUUCUUCUCCCUUGCCCCCAAUUUCUAACUCUGUUGUGGUUCAAGAAGAGCCUGUCCAAAUGAGCAAGACAUCCCAACAGAGCAGUACUGCAGGAGCUAAUGGAAUAAGUGUUAUUCACACACAAGCACAUGCCAGUGGUUUACAGCAGGUUCCUCAGGUGGUGCCAGUCAGCCCUGGAGGAGGAGGCAAAGCUACACCUCCCAGCAAACAAAGCAAAAAAAGUUCAUCAAUGGAUAGGAACAGUGAUGAGUAUCGACAGCGAAGAGAACGGAACAACAUGGCAGUGAAAAAGAGUCGGUUAAAAAGCAAGCAAAAAGCCCAGGAUACCUUACAAAGGGUCAACCAGCUAAAAGAAGAGAAUGAACGCUUGGAAGCAAAAAUUAAACUGCUGACUAAAGAAUUAAGUGUACUUAAAGAUUUGUUUCUUGAGCAUGCACACAACCUGGCAGACAACGUACAGCCUAUGAGCACUGAAAGCACUACCCCAAAUCCUGAGAGCACGGGACAGUAGUGAGGAUACGGCAGUCUGGGCGAACUGAACUCCAGAAGGUGUGACUGACUGACUCCACUCACUUUAGUAUCAAUGCUGAUCUAUUCUAAUAUUUAAAGAUCCUUUUGGGGAUAUUUUCUAGGUGAAGCACUGAAGAUUUGACUAGCCUAAAAUGUUAACUUGUUUGAAGUAAUAAGUUGCUUUUUAUCAAAAGUCAGAGAAUUUUUUCAAAGAUAUAAAAAAAUCUUAGAACUUUUUGUUAUUGCUAAGUCUUGGAUUUUCUCAGAAAUGCUCAUUAUCCCUUUUGGCAUGGAGAAGUAGGAAUGUACCUGAGAAUUGGCAGAUUGGGCAUAAGAUUUUAAUGAAUGAACAUAAUUGGCUGAAAAAGACUAAUGUUAAAUAUUAUUUUAAGAAAGUAUACAUCUACUCUACAGUAAAAAUUGGCUGUUGAUGACAGAUCAGUAUAUAAUAUGAGGGCUAUAAAUACAUUGUCUGAACAUAAUUAGAAGUUUUUCCCUAGUUGGCAUAAAUUGCUUCUCAAUAGUAUGGUUCAAUGACAUUGGCUAAAGUGUUACAAUUGAUUAUUAUAAACAGUGGAUUGUAAAUGUUAUAUAGCAAAUUGAAAUUGGCAUACCAAAAUUGUAAAUGGUUUCCUAGAAUUAAGGGAGCAAGUGGAUUUGUAUUCUUAUAAGCCUCUAUAUCAGUGAAAUUUGUUAGAAUUCUCCGUUUAGGUUUUCUGGGACUAUUGGACUAUUAUUAUUUUCCUUUGUUUUGUGCAAAAUAUCAGGAAUGUUUAGAACAACUCAGAAAAACUGAAGUGUCUAAAAUAUUAGUUUCAAAGAAUUGUUAAAAUAGGCAUUUUUGGCUACCUAUUAUUGAAAAGGACUUCACAUAGUGUACUAGCAGCCUUUUCAGUAUUUGGUUCAAGAGAAUGUUUUAUUGAGAAGGGAACUUUUCUUUGGUCACAUUUUAUAAGGGAACAUUCAUUAAAAAGAGUAAUUUCUUUAAAAUUUUAACAAAAGAGUGUGAUUAUUAGAAAAUAUGUGGUUGACUUCUUACCUUUUCCCCCAAUACAGUGGCAAUAUACUAUUAAGCUGGCUUUUAAAAAGAGAAGCUAAGAUGUCAAACCUUUUUAACUUAUUUCAUAAUUUGUAAUAUGGACCUGGCAUAUUUCUUGUUUGGUCAUCACACUAUAUUCUUCCAAAUCUUUUUUGCACCGUUUACUUCCAUUCAUUAGCUUUUAAACUUGUGUGCCCUAGAAAUGUAUUUAGAAAGAAUAUGUUGGUGAGAAAAUUGUUAGGAUGCCAAUAGAGAAAGUACAAAAUUAUAUUUGAUAGUUAAUUUUAUUUUGUGAAUAAAAAUGUCAGAGGGAAGCUCUAGAGACUGUUC
ensembl:lncRNA